rnacentral:lncRNA from 1 species
AGGUACCCCUGUGAGAUAUUCUGGAAAAACAUCAGGAAACUCAUUAACUACACUGACCGACUAAAUUAUUGGAGUCUCAGACUUUAUAUCUUUGACUCAAACUAGGUGGUAAAUUCAACCUUUUGAUAUCAACUUUCUGGCUUUAAGGUAAGAUAUGAAAUAACAUUUAGGAGACACUGAAUUACCUGAACUCUCAAAGGCUGGCUCAUCUGGGAACUAAAACUUUACCACAUGG